CAGGCAUUUAAAUUUCAUUCCACUAACCUUCUCCCAGUCUGACAUUGAUGAACAUACUGAUAACUGGAAAUCUAACAAACUGAAUCUAAACAGAAAAGGCAAACCUGAAGACCUAUUUUGACUCUUCCCAGAAGCCAUAAAUUGAAUACUCCACCAGACUUAACUUCAGUAUAGUUUUUUGGUUCUUCUUUUACUGAUGAGGAGAGGAAGAAAGCACAUGGACGAAGAAUCACAAUAAGAGGAAAAAUGAUCUCUACAAUUUUUCACCUUCCUAGAUUCAAAGAGCUAUAUGAGAUUAAGAUUGUUAAUGUAUCAGUAUAGAAGAAUAGAGACUCUGACUCAGUUUUUGACUUGACACUGACCUUUUAAACACACUUGAGGAAACAGCAUGUGUUGUGUUUAUUCAAAGACCAGUAACCUGCAAAAAAAUCCUUUUUUUGCAUCUUCUGAUAUUUCACAGUCUUGUCAAUGCAUGUUCAAAAAGAAGCAGUCCUUGACUUAAAAAGCAGGUCCGUGUUUAGCAGCUUCAGAAAUGUCCAGCUGGUUAGGAUAAAUGUGGCAAUGUCUGGAAGGUGGCAGCACAUGAUGGUAGAGCAAAUAAAGCACAGCCUAGUGUUUUAUUGCAAGGUACUAUUAUAUUAACUACAAAAAUAUUUAUGACCCAUAGUCAAGGCUCAUUGA